UUGCUGAUUGGUUCUGAUGGUAACUGUUUACAACAGCAUAAUUCUGGUCGACCAUCCUACAAAGCGAAGCAUUACAAAUAAAUUUACCGCAUUAUAAAUAAAUGACUGAUUCAUCAUUUUCUUGCUUAUUGAAUGUUUGAUAAACCUAGUUCUGACCGUAAACGAUACCAACUAGCGUUCCGUCAGUGGUAAUUACGCCUUGACGGGCAGCUUACCGGAAACGAAAGUUUUUCGGUUCCGGGGGAAGUAUGGUUGCAAAGCUGAAACUUAAAGAAAUUGACAAACUCUAUGAUAAAAC
rnacentral:ncRNA from 1 species